AGCAAAACAAUUCUGCCCCAUCCCC
rnacentral:piRNA from 1 species